GAUGAACGCUGGCGGCGUGCCUAACACAUGCAAGUCGAGCGAGCGGCGGACGGGUGAGUAAUGUCUGGGAAACUGCCCGAUGGAGGGGGAUAACUACUGGAAACGGUAGCUAAUACCGCAUACCAUCUGAUGUGCCCAGAUGGGAUUAGCUAGUAGGUGGGGUAACGGCUCACCUAGGCGACGAUCCCUAGCUGUUCUGAGAGGAUGACCAGCAACACUGGAACUAGGACACGCUCCAGCUUCCUAGGGGAGGAGCCGGUGGGGAAUAUUGGACAUGGGGGGCAAGCCGGAUGCAGCCAGGCCGCUGGUAUGAGGAGGGCUUUCGGGUUGUAAGGUACGUUCAGCGGGUAGGCGUUACCCGCAGAAGAAGCACCGGCUAACUCCGUGCCAGCAGCCGCGGUAAUUC
rnacentral:rRNA from 1 species